rnacentral:rRNA from 1 species
UGAGUAACCUGCCCUUCACUCUGGGAUAACUCCGGGAAAUCGGGGCUAAUACUGGAUAUGACUCGAACAGGCAUCUGUUUCGGGUGAAA